UCCUCUAUAACAUGUUCCAAAGAAUGAUAGAAUUACAUCCCUCCAAGAAACAUUUUAAAUCACAAAGAGAGACAGGGACACAAUCCAAGACAAAUCAAAAGUUGGUUUUCACACAAUAUUUAUUGUAAGACUUUCAUUUCAUUUUGUAAGCCAGAAAAACAGGUACCAAACAAAGAGAAAAAUAUGACAUUUCAGACACAAGUUUAUGUUUUCUGUUUGUCUGACUAAAAAAAACAUCAUAUCUUUUAGAAUAUAAUCUCCUAUGACAGAUUUUUUUCAUUUUUUAUUGAAGGACAUGUUCUUUCAGUUUUCAUCCCAGCUAUGCUGGAAUCUUGAUGUUCAGUGUGAAUUAAUUUUUUGUGAAGGAAUCUGCUUUCUUUCGGAUUGUAUCUGCUGAACAAAAACUGCAGUUAAGACUUGGAAUUAAGUCUACUGGAGGAAGGACAAAAAUAGUUGGGAAUGUUAACCUACUGUAAAUACUGAGUUUAUGUGUUAAAUGAAUCAGCUAUUAAUGUAACUGUUUUUUUUUCUUUCAGGAAAUAUAUAUAUCACUGUGAUUAUCAUCAGUAUUGGACUUUUUGCAGUUCCAGUCUCUGGGAUUUACAUAUGGUAUAGGCACAGCAGAUCCGGUAGAAGUUUUGACUCGAGCACUGCAACAGUUACAGUACUCAUUGUGUAUCCUCCAGAGAACCACAUUUUUCAGAAAGCUGUAGUGAGUUUUGCUGAAUUCCUUCAAUUGCAUUGCAAAUGCAGAGUCAGCAUCGAUGCCUGGCAGGGGCAGAAGAUUGCUGAACUGGGUCUGGUGCCUUGGCUGGCAAAGCAAAAGGAGACUGUCGACAAGAUCGUAGUCAUAUG